rnacentral:lncRNA from 1 species
UUAGGGAAGACAUUCUUCCAAGUAUCAAGAAAGGGAGCCCUUGCUUCCCUGGAAGACAUUUCGUCAGAGCAAUCCCUCCCCAAUUCCGUGUGAACUUUCCUACUCGGAGCCAGUUUUGGAAAGGAAGGGAAGACAUCUUUCAAGUUUCAAGCAAGGGUGCUUUUGCUCCCUGGAAGACGUUUCUUCUCUGCAUCCUUCUUAAGUUACAUGUGACCAUUCCUCUCUCUGAGGCUGUUUUUGUAAGGAUGGUAUGCAGUUGGGUUAGGUUAGGUGAUAUCAAUGUACAGUCAGCCAUUUUCUGUCUAGGCCUUUGUCAAUGAUAACAACCCAAAAUCAUGAACAGAGGUGAUGAUAUAAAAAUCAUGCUCAAUAGGAUUACGCUGAGGCACAAAGAACUGGGUUACAAGCAGUCACUUGACACAUUGGAAACCUCUUUGGUGACUUCAAUGAGGUCCUCAGAUGCCUGUGCCUUCUUUUUCAAGAGAGGAAAUGUGGACAUCUAUGGUGUACAUUGGUUGGCAAAUGCUGCAUGACAACAAGCACCUAGUCCCACAUUCUAACCUUGGGCAUUUCUGAAAGGCCUGCCCAUUGCUCAUGACCCUGUCCUUUCUGGUGUUUUGCAAUCAUCUGACAUGCCACCUUGUAAGGCAGAGAAACACAGAUAUCAGGUAAGUGAAAAAGAUCAUGGCUAAAGCCUCCCCUUCCAUGUGACCAGCUCCUUCAUGUCUUUGCUCUCAAUUCUGAGCCAGUCUGCCCUUUUGGAAUAACAAAAUGGUAUGCAAUGGUACCUAACAAAUCUCGAUUUAGGCUCUGUUAUCCCUUGUAGACCUGCUGUUUUGCAAACCUUUAAGGAA